rnacentral:rRNA from 1 species
CCUACGUGCGGCUGCAGUGAGGAAUAUUGGUCAAUGGGCGCGAGCCUGAACCAGCCAAGUCGCGUGAGGGAAGACGGUCCUAUGGAUUGUAAACCUCUUUUGUCGGGGAGCAAAAGACGCCACGCGUGGCGUUCCGAGAGUACCCGAAGAAAAAGCAUCGGCUAACUCCGUGCCAGCAGCCGCGGUAAUACGGAGGAUGCGAGCGUUAUCCGGAUUUAGUGGGUUUAAAGGGUGGGCAGGCGGAAGAUCACGUCAGCGGUAAAAUUGAGGGGCUCAACCCCUUCCCGCCAUUGAAACUGGCGCUCUUGAGUGGAAGAGAAGUAUGCGGAAUGCGUGGUGUAGCGGUGAAAUGCAUAGAUAUCACGCAGAACCCCGAUUGCGAAGGCAGCAUGCCGGCUUCCGACUGACGCUGAAGCACGAAAGCGUGGGGAUCGAACAGGAUUAGAUACCCGGGUAGUC